GAAUGAGGGUCCGGGUUCAGGAAGACGUCUUCCUGAUCCCAGUUCCACAAAGUGAGGCCAACUCCUGCUCUGUGUCGUGGCUGUGUGAGCAGGCAGCUCAGCGUUACUACCAGAAAUGUGGCCUCCUGCCUCGUCUCUCUCUGCAGAAAGAAGGCGCUCUGCUCUCCCCGCAGGACCAGCUACUGGCCGUCCUGCACACAAAUGAAGAGACUGGAUGCUGACUUGCUUUUGGAGCCAGCUUCCAGAAGACACUGAAGGAAUC